rnacentral:tRNA from 1 species
GCCUUCGUGGUGUAGUGGUCGGCAUGCUGUACGCGCAGUCCAGAGGUCCGUGGUUCGAGUCCCAGCGAAGGCG